UCAAAGACAAGCUUAAAAUUCCUCUGUGUGUAGGGGGUACGUGGGGCAUGCGUAGUGGGCAAAGCACAUGACCUCCUACUGAAGGUGCCAAACUUCAGAGCUUUUAAUCUGCGACUUGACUUCUAGGUGAAAGCGUCAGGGAUUGCUGCCGGAAGAGAAAGUUGAAAGACGACAUGAGGUUCCGUCAAGUGGUCAUAAGAUCGGUGGGCGUAGCAUCUGCAGUGCGUCAGUGUUGUCUUGGAUGUCUGUGAAUCAACCCGCUCUGAACUUAACUCCGGGUGAUCCAAAGUACCACGAUGCAACAAUCUGAAGCA
rnacentral:lncRNA from 1 species